UGGGGAAUAUUGCACAAUGGGCGCAAGCCUGAUGCAGCCAGGCCGCGUGUAUGAAGAAGGCAUUCGGGUUGUAAAGUACUUUCAGCGGGGAGGAAGGGAGUAAAGUUAAUACCUUUGCUCAUUGACGUUACCCGCAGAAGAAGCACCGGCUAACUCCGUGCCAGCAGCCGCGGUAAUACGGAGGGUGCAAGCGUUAAUCGGAAUUACGGGGCGUAAAGCGCACGCAGGCGGUUUGUUAAGUCAGAUGUGAAAUCCUCGGGCUCAACCUGGGAACUGCAUCUGAUACUGGCAAGCUUGAGUCUCGUAGAGGGGGGUAGAAUUCCAGGUGUAGCGGUGAAAUGCGUAGAGAUCUGGAGGAAUACCGGUGGCGAAGGCGGCCCCCUGGACAAAGACUGACGCUCAGGUGCGAAAGCGUGGGGAGCAAACAGG
rnacentral:rRNA from 1 species